GAUGAACGCUAGCGGCAGGCCUAAUACAUGCAAGCCGAACGGCAAGUCUGAUAGCAAUAUUAGACCUAGAGUGGCGUAAGGGUGCAUAGCACGUAUGCAAUCUACCCGCAACAGGAGGAUAGCUCGGGGAAACUCGAAUUAACCCUCCAUAAGAUCUUAGACCGGCAUCGGUUAGAGAUUAAAUCUGAGGAGGUUGCGGAUGAGCAUGCGUCUGAUUAGCUAGUUGGCGGGGUAAUGGCCCACCAAGGCGAUGAUCAGUAGGGGAACUGAGAGGUUGAUCCCCCACACUGGCACUGAGAUACGGGCCAGACUCCUACGGGAGGCAGCAGUAGGGAAUAUUGGACAAUGGGUGGAAGCCUGAUCCAGCCAUGCCGCGUGCAGGAAGAAGGCCUUUCUGGGUUGUAAACUGCUUUUAUCUGGGGAUAAAAGGCCUUGCGAGGCAAACUGAAGGUACCAGAUGAAUAAGCCACGGCUAACUACGUGCCAG
rnacentral:rRNA from 1 species